CGCGGCCAAGGCGGCGGUGGAGCAGAGCUGCCCGCAGACGGUGUCGUGCGCGGACAUCGUGGCGUUCGCGGCGCGCGACAGCAUCAACCUCACGGGCAACCUCGCGUACCAGGUGCCCUCGGGCCGCCGCGACGGCAACGUCUCCCUCCUCUCCGACGCCAACACCAACCUCCCCGCGCCGACGUUCAACGCGUCCCAGCUGGUGGCCGGCUUCGCGGCCAAGAACCUCACCGACGAGGAGAUGGUCAUCCUCUCCGGCGCACACACCGUCGGACGCUCCUUCUGCACCGCAUUCCUCCCGCGCAUCUACAACGGAUCCACCCC
rnacentral:lncRNA from 1 species